GUCUACGGCCAUACCACCCUGAACGCACCCGAUCUUGUCAGAUCUCGGAAGCUAAGCAGGGUCGGGCUUGGUUAGUACUUGGAUGGGAGACCACUUGGGACUACCGGGUGCUGUAGGCU
ensembl:rRNA 5S_rRNA 5S ribosomal RNA